UAAAGAAAAGCAGAUGGAAUGGAGUGAUUGACAACCUAGACCGGAAACUAAGGAGGAGAAGGGCUGAGAUCAGAGAUCUAGGCACAGAGCAAUUUAAAAUACUAAGAGGUGGAAGGGAACAAAAAACCCCUUCCGUACAAGGGAGGGGCUCCCAGGACCCUGGGAAAGAGGUGACAGUGUGGGUGGCCUUGGGAGUUAAGAACAAAGGGCAGGCGGGGGUGGAGCCCUGGGAAGCAGAGCUGCGGUUAGGACUAGAGCAGAUGGUUUGAGCAGGAAGUCGCUGUUCUGAACGUUCUUCUGGACCUGUCAUUGCAUGAGAUUGAUCAGCUCGGCUCUGUCUGCAUCCAGAGAGAAACUCUGCCUUUCCGCGGAGGCACACGGUAGCCAAAGCCACCGAAAUGAGAGGAUGAGCCAAGUUACGGAUCGCAUCUCAUAAUGAGAAACGCAGGGGUCCACUGCAGAGUUCAGAGUCACCACCUUGCUGGCCAGCCAGGAGAGAAGUCAAAUGAUGGCCCAAGGGUGCAGAUGAGCCCACAACCGGAACACAGGUGGCCUGCCGCAUAACUCAUAGCAUAGAGGCAACCUACGCAAAGACACUUCCCCUACAUACAGUGUUUAAAUGACUCCAGCAGCCUUUGCAGCUUAAACUUUCCUCCUUUUAUUUGUCUAGGCCACUGAAACUACCUGCAUCCACAUUCACUGGGGGAAUCUGAAGUGUCCAUAUACCAUCAAGGUGCUAUCCAGGCUUGCCAGAAUCAAUGUCUUAAGAGAUUUCCUGGAAUCGGCAGUUUUUAAGAAGUCUGCACGGAAUUUAUGGACCCUAAAUACAGUUGCAUGAUAAUCAC
rnacentral:lncRNA from 1 species